UCUUUCUGCCACCAUGUGAAGAAGGACGUAUUUGCUUCCCCUUCUACCAGGAUUGUAAGUUUCCUGAGGUCGCCCCAGCCAUGGUGAACUAAACCCAUGAGGCCUUUGUCUGUACAAAGAAAGUAUGCUACGGAAAUAGAAGAACUGGGAGACAAAGAAGAGAUUACACCAAUGAAAUUUUGAGAAAACAGUGAGAUCUGGUGAGACGAUGAAAGCUGAUGCUGAGCCUGAUAGUUUUCAGUGUUAACCUAAUUGUUAUGAUAGAGCAAUGGCCAAAGGACCAGGAAUGUUUCAAAGGUGAUGCCAGGUUUAGUCCUCUGGAAAACUUCUGUAUCAGCCAAAACCUAGGCCAUCUCUAGCUGGAACCUAUGCUCUGUUUAAGAUUGCUUCCUUCAUGCUAUGUUGCAGGACUUUUCCUUAGUUCAGCUAAAGAUGGGGUUCUUUGUCCCCAGCCACAAAAAUUCAGGCCCACAGACAAUUUGAAUGGUGAGUAAGACAGGGUUUUACUGGGUGAAAAGGAAGAAAAGGGGGAAACAGGGACUCUCACAAGGCCAGAGGCCCUGCUUGAGCGCUUGCCACCCGCAGCUUGAAUCCCAGUUUCCACACAGGAAGAGGAGGGGCCAGGCUCCAACCCACUGCAAAUGGUGUGAACUUUCCAAGGCUCCACUCCAGCGGGCAGGCUGGUUGGAGUUUCUCCAGGACCCCCUCCCACCUGGCUAUCUCACUUACUAAUGGCUAUUCUCUGAAAGACUACUGAAUUAUGUCUUCUUAUAUCUCCAAUGCGGUGUUAUGUAGUUCCAGUUCAUAGAUGUCCUACAGCACACCCAGGCUUGGUAGAAACAGACUUAACAGAGAUUCAAUGGCCAGUUUCUCGAACGAUGCCAUCAGCCUCACAUAGGUUAGAGCAUUAAUGUUAAAUGCCAGACAUGCUCAAUUGUCCCCACUCUCCACUCCUAACUAGAAGAAAGCUGCAGUAGUGAUCAGUGUGACAGUUUUUAGGUUGUCUGCACAGUUUCUAAUUACAUGUUGAAUUUGUUUGCUCUCACUUCUGAAAAUGACUGACAGUCAAAGUUGGCAUGCUCAUUUUCUUCCUCAUGAUAUCUCUCAAAAGUUCAGAUUGCCUCUUUCUACAAAUGAGAAAACUGAGCACCAGAGAGGCUAAAUAACUAGCCCAAAUUCACACAGCUAUUAAAUGUCAGAAUUAGAAUUCAAACGGAAACUGCCUGUGCAGAUGCACACACACACAGAAAAUGUCAAACAUUAGAUUUCUAAACAUCUGUUGUAUGAAGUGGUGAUAAAGGAAACAUUAAGGAUUAAUUGACUUGAUGUCCUAGGUGGCCCAAAUUGUCAUGAAUCCUGGGUUCCAGAGGAAAAUGGAUAAAAAUAGGAUGAUAAUGAAAACCAUUUUUAUCUUAUGUCUCCAAUAGUAAAUGACCUGUUAACUGAGCCAGGAGGAACAUAUCCAGGUGUGAGAAAUGGCAUCUGUUUAGGGCCAUGAAUAUGCUGUGCUAUGCACCUGUGUGCUUAGGGUGAAAAAGCACAGAUCUCUACAAGACAACUUAGUCAACGGUGCGUGGAAAUGAAGACCACGAGGAUGGCAUGGGAGUAUCUACCUUAGCUCUUGUCAUCUGCUCAACACGGGUCAGGAGGUCAUCUACUUCCAGCUAUGUGACUUGCUCCUCCUUGCCUUCCACCAUGAUUGUGAGGCCUCCCCAGCCAUGUGGAACUGCUCUUAGGCAGAAGGGACUUGCCUUGUCUCGGAUAAGACUUUGGAUUGUGGACUUUUGAGUUAAAGCCAAAAUGAGUUAAGACUUUAGGGGACUGUGGGGAAGGCAUGAUUGGUUUUGAAAUGUGAGGACAUGAGAUUUGAGAGGGGCCAGAGGCAGAAUUAUAUGGUUUGGCUGCGUUCCCACCCAAAUCUCAUCUUAAAUUUCCAUGUGUUGUGGGAGGGAUCCUGUGGGAGGUAAUUGAAUCAUGGGGGCAAGUCUUUCCCAUGCUGUUCUCAUGAUAGUGAGUAAGUCUCUCGAGAUCUGAUGGUUUUAUAAAGAGGAGUCCCCCUGCACAAGUUCUCUCUGUUUUUGCCUGCCGCCAUCCAUAUAAGAUGUGACUUGCUCCCCUUGUCUUCUGCCAUGAUUGUGAGGCCUCCCAAGACAUGUGAAACUGUAAGUCCAUUAAACCCUUUUUCCUGUAUAAAUUACCCAAUCUUGGGUAUGUCUUUAUCAGCAACAUGAAAACAAACUAAUGUCAUACCCAAUCCCUGCUUUCCCACUAGAGGAAACUACCAUAUCCAUUUAGUGUAAAUCCUUCCAGAAAUUUAAGUAUUCAUAUGUUUGUGCUUACAUGUGUACAUGUAGCUGCAGAGUUUCAUUUCUUUACUGUGAUAGAAUAUCACAUACAUUUGCAUGUAUAGAUUAACAACUUGAUUGAUAUUAAUGUAUUAUUACAUUAAGAUAUUGAUAAUAGCAUUUAUAAUUAAAUAUGUAUUUAAUAUUAAAUAAUGUUAUAUUUAAUAUUUUAAAUAUAUUAUUGAAUUGAGAAUGGUUUUUUUUUUUUUUUUUGAGUUUCACUCUUGUUGCCCAGGCUGGAGUGCAAUGGUGUGAUCUCAGCUCAGCUCAACCUCUGCCUCCCAGGUUCAAGCAAUUCUCCUGCCUCAGCAUUCUGAGCAGCUGGGAUUACAGGCAUGUGCCACCACACCCGAUUAAUUUCGUAUUUUUAGUAGAGACAGGGUUUCUCCAUGUUAGCCAGGCUGGUCUCGAAACCCCAGCCUCAGGUGAUCUGCCCACCUCUGCCUCCCACAGUGCUGGGAUUACAGGCAUGAGCCACCACACCCAGCCUGAGAAUUUAUUCUUAUCAAUACAUUAAGCUUAAAAAUAUUAAGCUAUUAUAUUUUAAGCUAAUUAUUAUAUUAAUAACAUAUUAAUCCAAUAAUAUAUUUUUCUACACAAGCCUACGCAGAGUACUCCAUUUAAAAAUUAACUAUGACAUAAUAUUUCACAAUUUAGACAUUCCUUAGUCCGUGAACUUCACAAUUAAUAAGCACUUAGGUUUUCCUUAAUAUUCUGCUGUUACAAAUCAAACUGUUCAUAAUCAUGCCCCUUGUAUACAUGAGAGUGUUCCUCUAGAGUGGAUACUGAGCAGGAAAUUACUGGGUGAUGUAUAGGUAAGUGCUGAAAAAAUAAGAUAGCCCUGUCCCUUGCUCUCCAUUAACAGUGUGAGAUCAUUGCUUCUCUACAUUUAUUCUUAAUAUCAUAUUUCUGAAAUUUUCUUAGAAAAUAGAUUACUAUUUCAUUGUUUUAUUUUGAAUGCCCUCGUUUACUAGUAAUGACUGCAUCUUGUCAACUAUUAGUAUUUUUAAAUGGCCAGUAAACCAAAUGGACCACCUGUGUGUGUUCUUUGCCCAUUUUUCUAUUAGGUUUGUUCAUCUAAUUAUUGAGUUAUAGAUUUUCCUUGGAUUCUUCACAUUUUUUAUAUUUGUUACAAAUUUUUAUCUCACUGUAUAACUUGUCUCCAUUUUAUUUGUGUUGGCGUUUGCCACAUGUUUAAAAUUUUGAUGUCAAAUAUAUCAAUGCCUUCCUUCUGUCUUUGGCUUUUUGUGACUUGUUCAAGAAGACUUAGCCUGUCAAUUUCCUAAGAACUAUUGACUGUAUUUUAUUCUAAUUUUUUAAAAAUUGUGGUAAGAACACUAAACAUGAGCUCUACUCUCUUAAAUUUUUAAGUACAAAAUGUAGUAUUGUUAACUACAGGCAAAAUGCUGUAAAGCAGAUCUCUAGAACUUAAUUGUCUUACAUAAUCAACUUAAUACUCAUUGAACAGCAACUCUCCAUCAUUUCUCCCUCCUCCCAGCCCUUGGCAACCACUUUUCUAUGAAUUUGUUUCUAUGAAUUUGAUUAUUUUAGAUACCUCUAUCAGUGAAAUCACGCAGUCUUUUUCCUUUUUGUGACUGGCUUAUUUCCCUUAAUCUAGUGUCCUCCAAAUUCAUCCAUGUUGUUCCACAUGACAGGGGUUUCUUUUCAAGGCUCAAUAAUAGUCCAUUGUGUAUGUAUAUUUUAUAUAUAUAUAUGUAUACAGAUGUAUGUAUGAAUGUAUGUAUGUGUGUGUUUGGGGUUUUUUUCAUUUUUAAGUUUUUUUAUUUUUUAUUUCAAUAGAUUUUUCUGUAUAUGUGUAUAUAUAUGUAUAUAUAUACACACGUAUAUAUGUAUAUAUAUAUACACACAUAUACACGUCGUAUAUGUGUGUGUAUAUAUAUACGUGUGUAUAUAUAUAUAUGUAUAUAUACACACACACACACACACACACACACACAAACACCCCACAUUUUCUUCAUCCAUUCAUAUAUCAGUGAAUAUUUAGGUUGUUUCUAUAUAUUGGCUAUUGUGAAUAAUGUGGCAUCUUCUAAUGGUUUCACAGCUUUGUUUUGACAUUGAGUUCAUUAGUGCAACUGAAGUUUGUGUUUACAAAUUUUAUGAGGUAGCAAUUUCUCUCACCUCAGGAAAUUAAUAGCUAAUAAUUCCAAUACCAUUUAAGUCUCUUGUCAUCACUAAUUUGAAAUGCCACCUUUAUCGCUUAUUGUUUCAAAUAUACAUAGGUCUAUUUAGGGGAAAAGUUUUAUAAUAAAGUUACAACUUUUUAAAAAUAUGGAUUUCUAAAAUGCUAAUACUCUUGACUUGUGGCCUACACAACAUAGGGUAUCAUUUACACUUUGCUGGUUAUCAUUUGCACUGAAACACAACUUCAAAAUUGAAUGCUAAGGGAACUCUAUAAUCAUUUUGCUUUAAUUAUUCCAUUCCAUUCAUAAGGUCGCGUGUUUCAUCAUUUCUAAACACCUAUUAAGCCCAGUAACUUGUUAGCAGAAUAUGAGUCAAGCCUCACCAAGAGCAUGUAUAAUAGCAUAUGUCUAUACCAACAAGAAAGCCAGAUGCUCACAGCUGGUCACUGGACUCUCUUCCCUCUUUCACUGUGAGCCUCAAUCAUUGAUAUACUACCAUCUUUAAUGUGGCCUUUGUUGAGAUAGAGUCUCGCUCUGUCAUCAGGCUAGAGUACAGUGGCAUGAUCUCGGCUCACUGCAACCUCAGCCUCCUGGGUUCCAGCAAUUCUCCUGCCUCAGCCUCCCGAGUAGCUGGGACUAUGGGCGCAUGCCACCACGCCCAGCUAAUUUUUGUAUUUUUAGUAGAGAUGGGGUUUUACCAUGUUGCCCAGAAUGGUCUCGAUCUCUUGACCUCAUGAUCCACCCACCUUGGAAAUCUGACCCAUCUUACUCUUCAUCCUCACUGUUUUCCUCUCUUAUUUGGUAUAAUCUAAAUAAACUGAAAAUCUCUAACGGUUAAAAGAAAAAAAAAAGUCUAGUUAAACAGAGGAAGAUGACAAAAGGGAGAAGGUGAGAAAAUCCAUGUCACUGACUAGUAGAACUAAACUGAGAAAGCCAAGUUGCCCUGAGUUCUUUGGGGUGUAAGGAAUCCAGAUGAAUUGAAAGUUUCCCUAAUUUUGAUCAUUUUCAUGGCUUGUUUUAGAUUCUAAGGUUUAAUAUUUAUAUAGUAAAUUAUUUCACCAAAUUCCUAUAUAAAUAUUAAGUUAUGUCUGGCAAACAUAUAUUAUUUAAGUAAUCUGAGUAUGUAAGUCUUCACAUCAGGAUCAAUUUUUUUUUUUUUUUUUUUUUUACAUUUUAUGCUAUUGGUCUCAUCAUGAGUAAAAAGGAGAGAGUCAUUUUUAUCUUUUUGACUUAUAGCUGCAAGUUCCCAAUAGUUUACAUUUCAUAUACCUUAAACCAUUCUUUCUCAUUUGCUAGUCAGAUAUUUUCUCAGUUAUGUCCUUCUACAUUAUAUAUCUGGUCUCUUUACAACUAUAAAAUAAAGUCCAGUAAAGAAAAAAAAAUUGUUUCGUAGGCUUGUUAUCCUUGCCUUGGGUCUUGAGCUAUCUGGCCCUGGAGUCCUAAGGAUAAAUGAAAUGAGAAAGCUGUUCCUUCUAAUAUAAGGUCUCCAACAAUCUCAUGUCAACAGAAAGGUGGCUUACUUCCUCAGCUCUUCUGCCAGGUGUUGCUGGCUGCUUUCCAGGUUCUCCAUACUUUCCUGAU